rnacentral:rRNA from 1 species
UACGGAGGGUGCAAGCGUUAUCCGGAUUCACUGGGAUUAAAGGGCGCGUAGGUGGGCAAGUAAGUCAGUGGUGAAAUCUCCGGGCUUAACCCGGAAACUGCCAUUGAUACUAUUUGUCUUGAAUACUGUGGAGGUCAGCGGAAUAUGUCAUGUAGCGGUGAAAUGCUUAGAUAUGACAUAGAACACCAAUUGCGAAGGCAGCUGGCUACACAAAUAUUGACACUGAGGCACGAAAGCGUGGGGAUCAAGCAGG